rnacentral:rRNA from 1 species
UUUUGCAUUCUUCCAAAAAACGAAGAUGCGCCAUGAAUCAUGCAGACCUUUUUUAGACCAUGCUAGAAAAACCACAGCUGCGAAUUGAAAGCACAAAGGGAAGGACACCCUAGUACCUUUAGCACGCACAACACCCGUAAAACUAUUGGAGGACUCAACGAUAAAAAUGAUGCGAUGGAGUGAUCAAAAUACCGAGGUUUUAAACAUCGUACGCCCCACAAACUCUUGCGUAAGAGGAGAGGAGGUAUAAACAACAUCAUCGAACAUCAUUUUCCAUAACGGGUCCGUUUUCCAUGAAGGCUACACAAAAACCUAGAAAAAGUCAAUGCGUAGGUGUGAAAAAGAUGCGGCGCUUGGCAGUUCGCCGCAACAAAGCGGGGAGCAUGAAGUAGCACACACAUGAACAACCAAUCACAUGCCCUCACGGUCACAACCCAGCAAAACCCUCCGCAUUUCCCACAAACGUACAAAAA